rnacentral:rRNA from 1 species
GGGCCCGCACAAGCGGUGGAGUAUGUGGUUUAAUUCGAUGCAACGCGAAGAACCUUACCAGGGUUUGACAUCCUGCGAAUCUCUUGGAAACAGGAGAGUGCCUUCGGGAACGCAGUGACAGGUGGUGCAUGGCUGUCGUCAGCUCGUGUCGUGAGAUGUUGGGUUAAGUCCCGCAACGAGCGCAACCCUUGUCAUUAGUUGCUACGCAAGGGCACUCUAAUGAGACUGCCGGUGACAAACCGGAGGAAGGUGGGGACGACGUCAAGUCCUCAUGGCCCUUAUGGGUAGGGCUUCACACGUCAUACAAUGGUUGGUACAGAGGGUUGCAAACCCGCGAGGGGGAGCUAAUCCCAAAAAACCAAUCGUAGUCCGGAUUGCAGUCUGCAACUCGACUCCAUGAAGUCGGAAUCGCUAGUAAUCG